rnacentral:ncRNA from 1 species
UUGAGCCGUAUGAGGUGAAAGUCUCACGUACGGUUUUUAGGGGGCCUGGGGCUGGAAACAGCCCCAGGCUACCCGAC